ACGUCUUAAACAUGACGUUUUAUUGUCAAGAAUCACUUCCGACAGACGCCAGGAGGCGAUACAAUUUAAAAUGAGCCUGUAUUGGCUUUGAAAUCUGCCCAUACAAAGUCGCAGCUGAUAGCUGGAUGAACAAUCCUAAGGAAUGGCCUGCAGUGGAGAAUGGAAACAUAUAUAACUACCUCAUAAAGUCACCCAGGUUAUUUAGCAGAGAAGCCAUGGAAAACUAAAAGUCCUUGGAGGCUCAUUCAUUUUUGUACAUCUGGUUAUGUUCAGACUGUAGAACACAUAAAGUCAACGAAUGACACAUACAUCUUAAGAGCUUCUGUGCGACAUUCAUGGCGGGUAACAGAUGAGCCUCAUCAUACCUGGGUGGCUGUGAAAAACAAUGGGACAGUAGUCACAGCUCAUUGCACGUGCAUGGCAGGCCUAGGUGAGACGUGCAGCCAUGUAGGUGCCAUGCUUUUCAAGAUUGAAGCUGCAGUUCGACUGGGCUACACUUCCUUGGCAUGCACUGAUGUGCCAUUCCCUUUGAAUACCAAACUUGACUUGAAUCCAGGCCAUAUGCAUUUCACACAGAUACAGUUUCAGAUGUCCGUGUGCAAUGCUACAUAUGGUGACCUUAUCCAUUGGUCACCAAAGUUCUGUGUAGUGAAACGUGUACAUCGCAAAGAGAAUUUCAUUGCCAGCAUGAUAGACAGGGUUGACGCUUUUUGGAGGAAGCACAUCCACAGCAGACUCUUGGCCCAGAAGAAAAAGAACGUUACGCCUGACACUUCCCAAAUGGACCAGACACUUUAUCGUGUGUGCAAAACUAACUCAGAAGAAGGGCCUAUGGUGGGAUGUGACUCAUGCAAUAACUGGUUUCACCUGCCAUGUUUGAAACUUAAAAGGCUGCCAAAAGCAAAGAAAUGGUAUUGCCAAGACUGCCGUAAAAAGAAAUGAGCUUGUUUAGAUUUUGUUGUUUUUGUUUACAUAUCUAAAUAUU